rnacentral:lncRNA from 1 species
CCGUUGAGUUGCUUUAUCAAGGAAGCGACAUAUAAAUCGCCAUACAGUGACAAAGAAUUGUGGCAUGUGUAAAAGGUAACAAGUAGCUAAGCGCUCAGGGUAGUAUGCCUGUAGAAAGAAAUUGUGUGAAAUGUAGCUUAGCAGCAUCAAAAUAACACACAGAAAUAUAGAGAAAUGAACAUUAUAUCAGCAUUCCAAUGUGGCCUUCAGCAAUUUGUUUAGUUUAUUGCUCCCUAUGUGACCCGGACUUCUAAAAAAUGUCAUCAUUUAGCUGCGCAUCAGCAUCAGAUCCUCCAAAAGUAGUGCAUUUUUGGAGGGUCUGCCACGGGUGCCACAUCAUUUUUAGAAAGUCCAAGCAACAGAGGUUGGUCCUAAUUUGUCUAAAUCAAGAUUCAAGAGCUUAAGAGGAGAAACAAUUUUGACCAAAAUUUUCGGAGAUUUUAAGUUAGUAGAGCAUAUCCAAACUAUUACGUUACAUUAAUGACACCUCAUAACUAUGUUGUUCAGACCCUCCAAAAAUGUUACUGCAACCAUGUCGGAUUCUCCAAAAAAAGCAUAGCUUUUGGAGGAUCAGACACACACACGACAGUAUGUUUGAAGAGUCCGAGCAACAUUGUCUCAUAGUGCAAGCAAACCAAAGCCUGUCUAGUGAGUUCUUCUACUAAGCCGCUAGUCUUGACUCUUUGAACUGUCUUAUAGUGUAUAUUUUCAUAACACUGGUAAUGUGCGUCUCUAUAGUAAUGGGUUUGCGUACUUUAGAAAGGCAAAGGGGUUACCUGUAAAAACUGAAAACCAGUGAUCAAUCCACGAGUAUCAACAUUGCUAUAGGUAAUAUUCUGGAGAUCAAGAAUUGCAAUAAGUUUCUCAUUUCCUAUUUCUCUACCAUUGAAUGAACUGAAACAAGCAGAAAAGAGGUCCAAGUUAGACACAGAACCAUGAUUCUCAGUACAAAAAACAUAAUUUCGAGAGAGGAAUAGCUGAGGAACCCGCGAGUCGAAGUCACAAAACCUCCAAAAGAUAAAUUUUCCAGGUUACAUUAUACUGUAGUGUCAAAUCUAUUGCAUCAGAUAACAGGAGAGAUGUAAUUCCUCUACACUUUCUUGUUAAGGCAAUCCUCUUCAUUAGUAGCAUUUACCUCACUAAGCAGUUCAUUGUUAUCAUCAUUUCUUGGACAAGAACAAGAUGAAAGUUUCCGUCAUUACUUCGCGCCUCAUUGAAAAGACAGAUAUCAGAGCGACAAGACAACAAAACAGAAAAGUAGCACCUAAAAGGAUCUACAAUCCCAAAUAAGCAGUUAAGCACACACACAAUCUCCUGAGCGGUAUAGAAUAGUAGGGAAAAUGAUGCCCAACAAAGCACCAUCAUAACAAGACUGUUCAUACAAUAUUCUAGUCAAACAUAUGCUUUGAUUUCUCUCAAAUCACAAGCAAUUGUAAAUGAUGUUAAAACUUUCUAGUGCAAGUUCCCUUCACCCCCUCCCCCCACGGCCCCACCCCACCCUCUGUGUAGAAAUAUCAGCACAAACCUCUCAUUUCCUUCUUUCUCUCAAUCACUUAGUGGUCGUUUGGUAGGAUGUACAAGAAUAGUGUUGAAUAAGAUGUAUUAGUAAUACACAAAGAUAUUUUUUCUAACGCAUCCUACCAUAUGACCCCUUACUCAAAACAGACACUUUGAUUUACAUAAAACAAAGUAAAUGUCAAAAACUUUGCAAGUUAUACUUAAUGUGCAAUUUCCCAACUGGUCAAAGAGCAACAUGAUUGAAUGAAAAUGAUACCUUGCAAUUGUUUUGUCGAGUGCAUGAACCACGAAUUCUGCAUAAGGGGCGAAUGUGUCAAUACUAACUUAAUCGUUAAGAGUAAUCAUUAGCAUCCUACAGAAAGAAGAAGAAUUGAGAAGGAUUUAUUCAAGAAAUCCCCUUACUAGUCACCCCCCAAAAAAAAUAAUCAUUCAUUAUAUUACCAGAGAUAGGGUGCAUGUCUUUUUCCUACUGGAUAUUCCCUUUGAGAGGUAUCAGGUAUCAAGUUUGAAAUAGUGUUCACUGGCCACUUUUCAGUCAUAACAUUGAAAAAUAACUACUAUCACGGAGUUCAAAUUUCACAAGAACUCCAAGUCUGUCUCAAUUUGUUUUCUUACCGUCCAUUUUAGUUCGUUCAAAAUAUAAUGUCUCUUUACUUUUUUGGCAACUUUUUAGUUUUAACUUUGCACGUGACAUCUUUAAAAUCACAAGAUUAAAAAACAUUUUGGUAUAUUGACCACAACACUUCUUUACUUUCUUUAACACCGUCUCAAAUCAAAACCAAACUAACAAAUUGAAACAGAGGGACUACAAGAUUGUCUAAAUUAAGGACUUGUCCACAAUAAAAGAUAAAAAGCCAUCAUUGAGAGAACCAACCAGAAUAUAUUUCAUAAAAAAAACACAAACAAGAUGAACAAUCAUGGACUAACCAAGAACAUCAGAAUGCAAUAUUAACUAUAAACAAAGAAAUGAAAAGGAGCUUUACUCAUAAGGGAAAAGAAUUUACUCUUGAAUUGAACUUGAUCCUUGGAAGCAAAAUGCUUGUUAAGUUUGAUUAUAGCAACAGGAUACCCAUUCUUGGACAAUCCCUGUAAAUAAACUUUUUCAGCUGCUGAUUCAUCUGCAACUUCAGAAUCAGUGAUGUACCCAGUUGGAACCAUUUCAGCCCUCCAUUUUUUCCACUGACAAAACAUCUUUGCAGCUUUCUCUGGGUUCAUUGAUCUUGCAAUCAAGAACCUCAUCAAUGUCUUCUCUCCAUAACUCUACAACAACAACAAAAAAAACUGAUUAUCAGUACAAAGAUUUGAACUUUACACUAAAAUAGGAAAAGGGUGUCAUUUAAAAAAAAAAAAAACUGAUAAUCACUACAAAUAUUUGAACUUUACACUACAAGAGGAAAAAGGGGAUCAUUUAUUUUUUUAAAAGAACUGAUUAUCAUCAGUACAAAGAUUUGAACUUUAUACUAAAAAGGGAAAAUGGGGUAAUUUUUUUCUUACUUCAGUGGAAGAUCCAGGCUUUUCAACUGAUUUCCUCAUUUUAGCCAAUGCAAUUUCUUGAUUUCUGUCCAUUUUCAGUUUUCUUCUCCCCCCUCCCAAACUUCAAAAGAAUGGUUUUUUGGGAAAGAAAUACACAAAGAGAAAAAGUUAGUAGAAAACUUAAAAGAGUGUCUCAUUAAUGGCAAUUAAUGGCCAAACUGUUUGGCCCAAACAUGUCGAAAGGGACCAAGCUCAUGGAAUAGAAGAGAAGAAGAGUGGUGUCUGUGGAUAUGAUAUUUGAUUUGUUUGUUCUUGAUGUCAUUGUUUUUUUUAAAAAAGAACUGAUUAUCAGUGCAAAGAUUUGAACUUUACACUAAAAUAGGAAAAGGGUGUCAUUUAAAAAAAAAAAAAACUGAUAAUCACUACAAAUAUUUGAACUUUACACUACAAGAGGAAAAAGGGGAUCAUUUAUUUUUUUAAAAGAACUGAUUAUCAUCAGUACAAAGAUUUGAACUUUAUACUAAAAAGGGAAAAUGGGGUAAUUUUUUUCUUACUUCAGUGGAAGAUCCAGGCUUUUCAACUGAUUUCCUCAUUUUAGCCAAUGCAAUUUCUUGAUUUCUGUCCAUUUUCAGUUUUCUUCUCCCCCCUCCCAAACUUCAAAAGAAUGGUUUUUUGGGAAAGAAAUACACAAAGAGAAAAAGUUAGUAGAAAACUUAAAAGAGUGUCUCAUUAAUGGCAAUUAAUGGCCAAACUGUUUGGCCCAAACAUGUCGAAAGGGACCAAGCUCAUGGAAUAGAAGAGAAGAAGAGUGGUGUCUGUGGAUAUGAUAUUUGAUUUGUUUGUUCUUGAAUUUUCCUUUAUUAUUUCUUUAAUAUUAUUAUUAUAAAAUUUAUUUUUCACUUUUAUUUAGAAUUAUCCACAACGUUGCUCAGUAAAAUCUUAUAAAUGAGAUCUCAAAAGGUUAAAAUCUAUGCAGACCUUACCAUUGCUUCAUGAAAGUAGAGAAACUGUUUCUAAAAGACUGUCGUCUCAAGUGCAACAAUCUUGAUAUAAAGGAGAAGAAGACAAUGAAGAGAGAUCAAAAAAUAAAAUAGUGCAAAAGUAACUAAAACAACAAUAAAAUCAUGUGAUAAUCGAAAUGCUAUAAACAACAUAUUAGGGUAGAUUAGUAUUAAAAAAUAAUAAUAAACAAUGAUAAAAAUAAAAAACAAGAACUACAAUAAUAUAACUAGUAUCAUCACUAACACUGGUCACCUUAAGCAACACAACCUACUAACCAUAAUACGAGUCCUCCUCACCCUCCUAUCUAGGGUCAUAUUUUUAGUAACUUGAAGUCGCCUCAUAUCAUGUCUUAUCACCUCUCUCUCCAAUACUUUUUCAGCCUACCUCUGUCUCUCUUCGUACGCUCUAUAACCAACUUCUCGCACUUUCUCAUUGGUGCGUUUAUGCUUCUCUUUUUCAGAUGUAUAAACCAUCUUAGUCUAAUUGCUCAUCUUAUCGACCAAAGAGGUCACACCCACCUUAUCUCGAAUAUCCUCAUUUAUAAUACUCCUAGUAUGAUCACACAUUCAUCUCAACAUCCACAACAUGCAUUUUCUAAAGAUAAAAUUUCUUGAUUUGCCAACACUCAGACACAUACAAUAAAGUUGAUCUAACUAUCCCUUUUUUUUUUAGUAAUAUAAAAAUAAUCUAAUUUAUUUCAGAUUAAGACGGUUUUUAUUAUUGCUGUGGUAUGGAUUUCCGUUUAGCUAAUGAAAAUAUGAAAAGUCUCCUUCUAUAUAUGUGGCAAAGACAUUAUCGAAUAUUAUGUCCAAUUUUUAAGUGUGAACAAUAUUAUAUAUUAUUAUUAGUAGGCAUUUGGACAUGAUUUCAAAUUAAUUCUAGGAUAUAUGAUUCGAAAUUGUUAUUUCAAAUUUCAAAUUAUCUAAAAAGUGUAAUUUGAAAUUUCAAAUUGUGAUUAUGAUAUAGGCUUAAAUAAGUCAAACCUCAUUAAUCACUUACCUAAAAAGCCAAUUUAUCUAUUUAAAAAUAUUAAUGACCAACGUAAAGAAGUUUUAGCACGCAAAUUUUUAUUUAUUAUCUAUUCACAAGCUUUUGGUCCUCCUUUUAAGUGUGAAUUCAGUUACGUCUCAAGCAUAAUUAGAUAUCCAAGCACGAGAAGAUUAAUAAUUAACUUCUAAACUAGUAGUAAGAUUUAUGUUGUUAUGUUUGUGUAAUUAAGUAGUUUUUUUUUUUUUUAAUAAGAAUUAAACAUGUUGAGCCUGUGCUCAGUACGGGCCACAGCCCAUCUGGUAUGACUAGAAGUAAACAAGAUGUAAAACUUUUAGCAACAUAAAUAGUAGUAUGUUUAUGAAGCUAUUCUUUCUCAUCUUAUUUCACAUUUCUAUUAUUCCUCUACUUUGUGUUUGUGUUAGUAGUUCACAACAACAUCCUGCAAAAGUACAAGUUUAGCGCGCCCUCCAUACUCCUCCGGUACGACGUCUUCACCGACCUCUCGGAUGAACUCUUGCUUCUGUUCUUCACUCAUGACAAUCCUCAUCUGUGUAGUGAUUUGAUAUUAGAAACAAAAGACUAUGCAUUUAAACACACAUUUUUGUUAAGCGUUACAUCACGCGAUGGGCAAUUAUGCACACUGACGUACCUUCCGUUGAGUUGCUUUAUCAAGGAAGCGACAAACAAAUCGCCAUAUGGUGACGAAGAAUUGUGGCAUGUGUAAAAGGUAACAAGUAGCUAAGCGCUCAGGGUAGUAUGCCUGUAGAAAGAAACUGUGUGAAAUGUAGCUGGCAGAAUCAAUAUAAAGAACUGAACUAUAUAUAUUAGCAUUCCAAUGUCAUUGGGUGUGCGCCAGCGUCAGAUCCUCCAAAAGG